rnacentral:rRNA from 1 species
GAUGAACGCUGGCGGCGUGCCUAAUACAUGCAAGUCGAGCGAACGGACGAGAAGCUUGCUUCUCUGAUGUUAGCGGCGGACGGGUGAGUAACACGUGGAUAACCUACCUAUAAGACUGGGAUAACUUCGGGAAACCGGAGCUAAUACCGGAUAAUAUUUUGAACCGCAUGGUUCAAAAGUGAAAGACGGUCUUGCUGUCACUUAUAGAUGGAUCCGCGCUGCAUUAGCUAGUUGGUAAGGUAACGGCUUACCAAGGCAACGAUGCAUAGCCGACCUGAGAGGGUGAUCGGCCACACUGGAACUGAGACACGGUCCAGACUCCUACGGGAGGCAGCAGUAGGGAAUCUUCCGCAAUGGGCGAAAGCCUGACGGAGCAACGCCGCGUGAGUGAUGAAGGUCUUCGGAUCGUAAAACUCUGUUAUUAGGGAAGAACAUAUGUGUAAGUAACUGUGCACAUCUUGACGGUACCUAAUCAGAAAGCCACGGCUAACUACGUGCCAGCAGCCGCGGUAAUACGUAGGUGGCAAGCGUUAUCCGGAAUUAUUGGGCGUAAAGCGCGCGUAGGCGGUUUUUUAAGUCUGAUGUGAAAGCCCACGGCUCAGCCGUGGAGGGUCAUUGGAAACUGGAAAACUUGAGUGCAGAAGAGGAAAGUGGAAUUCCAUGUGUAGCGGUGAAAUGCGCAGAGAUAUGGAGGAACACCGGUGGCGAAGGCGACUUUCUGGUCUGUAACUGACGCUGAUGUGCGAAAGCGUGGGGAUCAAACAGGAUUAGAUACCCUGGUAGUCCACGCCGUAAACGAUGAGUGCUAAGUGUUAGGGGGUUUCCGCCCCUUAGUGCUGCAGCUAACGCAUUAAGCACUCCGCCUGGGGAGUACGACCGCAAGGUUGAAACUCAAAGGAAUUGACGGGGACCCGCACAAGCGGUGGAGCAUGUGGUUUAAUUCGAAGCAACGCGAAGAACCUUACCAAAUCUUGACAUCCUUUGACAACUCUAGAGAUAGAGCCUUCCCCUUCGGGGGGGCAAAGUGACAGGUGGUGCAUGGUUGUCGUCAGCUCGUGUCGUGAGAUGUUGGGUUAAGUCCCGCAACGAGCGCAACCCUUAAGCUUAGUUGCCAUCAUUAAGUUGGGCACUCUAAGUUGACUGCCGGUGACAAACCGGAGGAAGGUGGGGAUGACGUCAAAUCAUCAUGCCCCUUAUGAUUUGGGCUACACACGUGCUACAAUGGACAAUACAAAGGGCAGCGAAACCGCGAGGUCAAGCAAAUCCCAUAAAGUUGUUCUCAGUUCGGAUUGUAGUCUGCAACUCGACUACAUGAAGCUGGAAUCGCUAGUAAUCGUAGAUCAGCAUGCUACGGUGAAUACGUUCCCGGGUCU